rnacentral:rRNA from 1 species
UACCAGCACCCCGAGUGGUCGGUACGAUUAUUGGGCCUAAAGCAUCCGUAGCCGGUUUUACAAGUCCUCCGUUAAAUCCAGCUGCUUAACAGAUGGGCUGCGGAGGAUACUAUAAGACUAGGAGGCAGGAGAGGCAAGCGGUACUCAGUGGGUAGGGGUAAAAUCCGUUGAUCCAUUGAAGACCACCAGUGGCGAAGGCGGCUUGCCAGAAUGCGCUCGACGGUGAGGGAUGAAAGCUGGGGGAGCAAACCAG